rnacentral:rRNA from 1 species
UCGGGAAUAUUGGACAAUGGGCGAAAGCCUGAUCCAGCAACGCCGCGUGCGGGACGAAGGCCCUCGGGUCGUAAACCGCUGUCAGGAGGGAGGAACGGUGCGCGGUUAAGAGCUGCGUACUUUGACAGUACCUCCAGAGGAAGCCCCGGCUAACUCCGUGCCAGCAGCCGCGGUAAUACGGAGGGGACUAGCGUUGUUCGGAAUUACUGGGCGUAAAGAGUUCGUAGGCGGACUAGCAAGUUAGAGGUGAAAUCCCAGGGCUCAACCUUGGAACUGCCUUUAAAACUGCUAGUCUAGAGACCGGAAGAGGUUAGGGGAAUACCUAGUGUAGAGGUGAAAUUCGUAGAUAUUAGGUGGAACACCAGUGGCGAAGGCGCCUAACUGGUCCGGUACUGACGCUGAGGAACGAAAGCGUGGGGAGCAAACAGGAUUAGAUACCCUGGUAGUCCACGCCGUAAA